AGGCAGUCUGUUCUGAAUUAGUGGUUCCACAGCAGCAGACAAGUGGUGAGUCCCUGAAGAUGCCUUUGUUCCAACACCAAAAGAAUCAUAUAAGGACCCCAAAAGGCUGGAAUGAUUUCCUGAGCAACAACUCCAGUAUAGAUGCCAAGAAAGAAUACAAGAAUAUUCUCAUUGUAUAACACAGCAAGAAAAUGGUAGGAAAAGCUAUGAAAUAUUGCAUGCAUCCUCAUAAUCUUCCCAGAGGCCAGGAUAUAAAUGCA